rnacentral:rRNA from 1 species
GACGAACGCUGGCGGCGUGCUUAACACAUGCAAGUCGAACGGAAAGGCCCUGCUUUUGUGGGGUGCUCGAGUGGCGAACGGGUGAGUAACACGUGAGUAACCUGCCCUUGACUUUGGGAUAACUUCAGGAAACUGGGGCUAAUACCGGAUAGGAGCUCCUGCUGCAUGGUGGGGGUUGGAAAGUUCGGGCGGUUGGGGUUGGAGUCGCGGCUUAGCAGCUUGUUGGUGGGGUAGUGGCUAACCAGGGCUUUGAUGGUUAGCCGGCCUGGGAGGUAAACAGCCACAUUGGGACUAAGAGACGGCCCAGACGGCUACGGGAGGCAGCAGUGGGGAAUAUUGCACAGUGGGCGGGAGCGUGAUGAGGAAGCGCCGCGAGCGGGAUGCCGGCCUUCGGGUUGUAAACCGCAUUCGCCUGUGACGAAGCGUGAGUGACGGUAAUGAGUGAAGAAGCACCGGCUAACUACGUG